rnacentral:rRNA from 1 species
UACGGGGGGGGCAAGCGUUGUUCGGAAUUACUGGGCGUAAAGGGCUCGUAGGCGGCCAACUAAGUCAGACGUGAAAUCCCUCGGCUUAACCGGGAACUGCGUCUGAUACUGGAUGGCUUGAGAUUGGGAGAGGGAUGCGGAAUUCCAGGUGUAGCGGUGAAAUGCGUAGAUAUCUGGAGGAACACCGGUGGCGAAGGCGGCAUCCUGGACCAACACUGACGCUGAGGAGCGAAAGUGCGGGGAGCGAACAGG